rnacentral:rRNA from 1 species
CUGCAAUGCACGAAAGUGUGACAGGGCUACCCCGAGUGCCGUCCGCUGAGGAUGGCUUUUCUCCGCUGUAAGGAGGCGGAGGAAUAAGGAGAGGGCAAGUCUGGUGUCAGCCGCCGCGGUAAUACCAGCUCUCCGAGUGGUAGGGAUGAUUAUUGGGCUUAAAGCGUCCGUAGCCUGCCUUUCAAGUCUCUCGUUAAAUCCAGCGAUUCAAUCGUUGGACUGCGGGAGAUACUGUUAGGCUAGGGGGCGGGAGAAGCCGACGGUAUUUCCGGGGUAGGGGUAAAAUCCUAUAAUCCCGGGAAGACCACCAGUGGCGUAGGCGGUCGGCUAGCACGCGCUCGACGGUGAGGGACGAAAGCUGGGGGAGCGAACCGGAUUAGAUACCCGGGUAGUCCCAGCUGUAAACGAUGCGGGCUAGGUGUUGGAGCGGCUACGAGCCGCUUCAGUGCCGCAGGGAAGCCAUUAAGCCCGCCGCCUGGGGAGUACGGCCGCAAGGCUGAAACUUAAAGGAAUUGGCGGGGGAGCACCACAAGGGGUGAAGCUUGCGGUUUAAUUGGAGUCAACGCCGGGAACCUUACCGGGGGCGACAG